rnacentral:rRNA from 1 species
GGUUGCGAUCAUACCAGCACUAAUGCACCGGAUCCCUUCAGAACUCCGCAGUUAAGCGUGCUUGGGCGAGAGUAGUACUAGGAUGGGUGACCCCCUGGGAAGUCCUCGUGUUGCAACCC